rnacentral:lncRNA from 1 species
CUUAAAACGUUUUUGCGUGCUCUGACCAUCACUGACACUGUUUUGCUCAGUAAUAUCUCAUGAAAUUUUAAUAGAUAGUUCAUUCUUUCUCGAGUUUCGUUUUUCUUCAAACUAAAUUAAGUGUUUUCAUGUUUUUAAAACAAAAAGCAUAUUUAUUCGCAAGGUUGGCAAGAAAAUCAAACUAUACAUAUAGCUAUAUAUACCUUAAGACAAUCGAAAAAUACUCGAAAUAUUUUAAAAGCUAUCCUAAUAUAAUACCAAAACUUGAAUCUAUGUCCUAUGAUAGUUUUACUAGAUUACAACUUUUUAGCGAAAAGAAGUUCCUAAAACGUCAAAAUCAUUGGCUGUCAAAACCGUCGGUCUCGUAUUUCAUAUUGUCACGAUUAUUCGCGUUCUUCAUGAUAUUUGGGCUGAUCAGACAAUUAUAAAUAACACAUUCACAGUUUAUUAUUAUCACACCCAGCUAUUGACGCAUUGUUCUAUUCAAAGUCCAGGAAAUUAUCACUAAGCUUAGUAUGUUAUUGACCAACUUUGUAUUGUUACAAAGUUUAUUGAACUUUGCCAGAUAAUAGCACGAACACGCAAGUUGAGAACGAAAAGGCCUCAUGGGUUUAUCUUUAAGGUCAUAAUUUAUCACAAUCUUGCUUCCUUUUUCUCUAAUUGUUUGUAAGCAUCCGUUAUGAUUUGGCAACUUGAGAUUUCUAUAUCUCGUUUCCUUCCGUGAUGUGCACCAUAUUGGAGCGUGAUAAUGCGUAAUUAACGAGUCGUUUCCUUGCCGCGUUGUUGUAUAGAUAUAUAAAUUAGUUCUUGAUUGUUUUUCCAGUUAUAACAAAACCUUUGAAGAAAACAGUCAAAUAGUGGCAACGACCAAGUUUGUAAGGGUCAAGAAAAUAUAUUUCUGGUGAGUUUCUUUUCGUACUUUCAAGACUAAAAGGC